AAGGCAUACUAUAGUUGCAUGAAAGCUUGCCAUCCAGAUUUGAGUGGUGAUGAUCCCGAGACCACAAAUUUUUGCAUGUUUAUCAAUGAGGUCUAUGAGAUUCUUAGUGAUCCAGUGCAAAGGAGAGUUUAUGAUGAGAUCCAUGGGUACACAGCCACAGCAAUUAACCCUUUCCUGAGCGAUUCAUCGCCGAAAGAUCAUGUAUUUGUUGACGAGUUUAGCUGCAUAGGCUGCAAAAAUUGUGCCAAUGUUUGCUCAAAAGUGUUUGGGAUUGAGGAAGACUUUGGAAGAGCUAGAGU
rnacentral:misc_RNA from 1 species